rnacentral:rRNA from 1 species
GAUGAACGCUGGCGGCGUGCCUAAUACAUGCAAGUCGAGCGAACAGAUGAGGAGCUUGCUCCUCUGACGUUAGCGGCGGACGGGUGAGUAACACGUGGAUAACCUACCUAUAAGACUGGGAUCACUUCGGGAAACCGGAGCUAAUACCGGAUAAUAUAUUGAACCGCAUGGUUCAAUAGUGAAAGACGGUUUUGCUGUCCCUUAUAGAUGGAUCCGCGCCGCAUUAGCUAGUUGGUAAGGUAACGGCUUACCAAGGCAACGAUGCGUAGCCGACCUGAGAGGGUGAUCGGCCACACUGGAACUGAGACACGGUCCAGACGCCUACGGGAGGCAGCAGUAGGGAAUCUUCGGCAAUGGGCGAAAGCCUGACGGAGCAACGCCGCGUGAGUGAUGAAGGUCUUCGGAUCGUAAAGCUCUGUUAUUAGGGAAGAACAAAUGUGUAAGUAACCAUGGACGUCUUGACGGUACCUAAUCAGAAAGCCACGGCUAACUACGUG